rnacentral:lncRNA from 1 species
GAAAUACAGAACUGAGCGGAGAAAAGAUAAGAUACUUAAGAAAAUCUUAGAAAACAAACAAAAACUUAGAGAAGAUCGUAAAAUAACAUAGAGAAUCAUGAAACAGAACCUUGAUUCGAUUAGGUUUCUCCUAAAAAGCCUCAGAAAUGGCGAGAAUAGCCUGGACGACUCAUCGGAGCUUGCUGAGGACCCAAGGCUUCAAAGGCUCGCCGGAGAAAAUCUAGACACAACCGUGAAACCACCAUUAAAGGACCUUUGGUCCAUUUAACCUCUAAACAAACCCCGAUCUUCGAACCGAAAGGUCAGGAACAAUGAUUACUGAACGAGCAUGUGAGUUUUCGGUCAUAGAAUGGCCAUAGAAGCCGGCGAAGAAGCCUGAAAGUAACAAGGGUUUAGAGAGAGUUCAGAGAGCAUUUUGG